rnacentral:rRNA from 1 species
GACGAACGCUGGCGGCGCGCUUAACACAUGCAAGUCGAGCGGUAGUGCCCUUUCGGGGGUAUGAGAGCGGCGAACGGGUGAGUAACACGUGAGCAAUCUGCCCUUCACUCUGGGAUAGCCACCGGAAACGGUGAUUAAUACCGGAUAUGACCAUGCCAGGCAUCUGGUGUGGUGGAAAGUUCUGGCGGUGAAGGAUGGGCUCGCGGCCUAUCAGCUUGUUGGUGAGGUAAUGGCUCACCAAGGCUUCGACGGGUAGCCGGCCUGAGAGGGUGACCGGCCACACUGGGACUGAGACACGGCCCAGACUCCUACGGGAGGCAGCAGUGGGGAAUAUUGGACAAUGGGCGAAAGCCUGAUCCAGCAACGCCGCGUGAGGGAUGACGGCCUUCGGGUUGUAAACCUCUUUCAGCAGGGACGAAGCGCAAGUGACGGUACCUGCAGAAGAAGCACCGGCCAACUACGUGCCAGCAGCCGCAGUAAGAC